GACGAACGCUGGCUGCGUGCUUAACACAUGCAAGUCGAACGCUGAAGCCAGAAGCUUGCUUCUGGUGGAUGAGUGGCGAACGGGUGAGUAACACGUGAGUAACCUGCCCCCGAUUUCGGGAUAAGCCCGGGAAACUGGGUCUAAUACCGGAUACGACCAAUCCUCGCAUGAGAGUUGGUGGAAAGUUUUUCGAUCGGGGAUGGGCUCGCGGCCUAUCAGCUUGUUGGUGGGGUAAUGGCCUACCAAGGCGACGACGGGUAGCCGGCCUGAGAGGGCGACCGGCCACACUGGGACUAAGACACGGCCCAGACUCCUACGGGAGGCAGCAGUGGGGAAUAUUGCACAAUGGGGGAAACCCUGAUGCAGCGACGCAGCGUGCGGGAUGACGGCCUUCGGGUUGUAAACCGCUUUCAGCAGGGAAGAAGCGAAAGUGACGGUACCUGCAGAAGAAGUACCGGCUAACUACGUGCCAGCCGCCGCCGUAA
rnacentral:rRNA from 1 species